rnacentral:rRNA from 1 species
GGAUAACGUUUGGAAACGAACGCUAAUACCGCAUGAUAUUAUUGAGCUGCAUGGCUUGAUAAUCAAAGGAGCAAUCCGCUGAAAGAUGGGCUCGCGUCCGAUUAGGUAGUUGGCGGGGCAACGGCCCACCAAGCCGACGAUCGGUAGCCGGACUGAGAGGUUGAACGGCCACAUUGGGACUGAGACACGGCCCAGACUCCUACGGGAGGCAGCAGUGAGGGAUAUUGGUCAAUGGGGGAAACCCUGAACCAGCAACGCCGCGUGAGGGAAGACGGUUUUCGGAUUGUAAACCUCUGUCCUCUGUGAAGAUAAUGACGGUAGCAGAGGAGGAAGCUCCGGCUAACUACGUGCCAGCAGCCGCGGUAAUACGUAGGGAGCAAGCGUUGUCCGGAUUUACUGGGUGUAAAGGGUGCGUAGGCGGCUUUGCAAGUCAGAAGUGAAAUCCAUGGGCUUAACCCAUGAACUGCUUUUGAAACUGCAGAGCUUGAGUGGAGUAGAGGUAGGCGGAAUUCCCGGUGUAGCGGUGAAAUGCGUAGAGAUCGGGAGGAACACCAGUGGCGAAGGCGGCCUGCUGGGCUCUAACUGACGCUGAGGCACGAAAGCGGGGGUAGCAAACAGGAUUAGAUACCCUGGUAGUCCACGCUGUAAACGAUGAAUACGAGGUGUGGGUGGACUGACCCCAUCCGUGCCGGA